rnacentral:misc_RNA from 1 species
UUUCCGUAGGUGAACCUGCGGAAGGAUCAUUCAUAAUAAAGUGUUUUAUGGCACUUUUUAAAAAUCCAUAUCCACCUUGUGUGCAAUGUUAGAUCUCGUCAAUCUUGGCGAGAUUUUUAUACAUCAACUCAUUCUUUAACUACUUUGUCUGAAAAAUAUUAUGAAUACUUAAUCCAAAAUACAACUUUCAACAACGGAUCUCUUGGCUCUC